rnacentral:rRNA from 1 species
GCUUACAGCCAUACCACCCUGAGCGCGCCCGAUCUCGUCUGAUCUCGGAAGCUAAGCAGGGUCGGGCCUGGUUAGUACUUGAAUGGGAGACCGCCUGGGAAUACCAGGUGAUGUAAGCU